CAUUACCUACGGGGCGCAGCAGUAGGGAAUUUUCGUCAAUGGGCGCAAGCCUGAACGAGCGAUGCCGCGUGAGUGAAGAAGGCCUUCGGGUCGUAAAGCUCUGUUGCGGGGGAAAAAAGGCAGCAUCAGGAAAUGGGUGCUGACUGAUGGUGCCCCGCCAGGAAGUCACGGCUAACUACGUGCCAGCAGCCGCGGUAAUACGUAGGUGGCGAGCGUUAUCCGGAAUGAUUGGGCGUAAAGGGUGCGCAGGCGGUCCUGCCAGUC
rnacentral:rRNA from 1 species